AACGAACGCUGGCGGCGUGCUUAACACAUGCAAGUCGAGCGGGAAAGUUUCCUUCGGGAAGCGAGUACAGCGGCAGACGGGUGAGUACGACGUAGGUAACCUACCCUCGAGACUGGGAUAACCUGUCGAAAGACGGGCUAAUACCGGAUAAGACCACAAGGGCUGCGGCCUUUGAGGUAAAAGAUGGCCUCUGCUUGCAAGCUAUCACUUGGGGGAUGGGCCUGCGCGCCAUUAGCAGUUGGUGAGGUAACGGCUCACCAAGGCUUCGACGGGUAGCUGGUCUGAGAGGACGAUCAGCCACACUGGCACUGCGACACGGGGCCAGACUCCUACGGGAGGCAGCAGUAAGGAAUAUUGCGCAAUGGGCGAAAGCCUGACGCAGCGACGCCGCGUGGGGGA
rnacentral:rRNA from 1 species